rnacentral:rRNA from 1 species
GAUGAACGCUGGCGGCGUGCCUAAUACAUGCAAGUCGAGCGAAUGGAUUAAGAGCUUGCUCUUAUGAAGUUAGCGGCGGACGGGUGAGUAACACGUGGGUAACUUGCCCAUAAGACUGGGAUAACUCCGGGAAACCGGGGCUAAUACCGGAUAACAUGUUGAACCGCAUGGUUCGAAAUUGAAAGGCGGCUUCGGCUGUCACUUAUGGAUGGACCCGCGUCGCAUUAGCCAGUUGGUGAGGUGACGGCUAACCAAGGCAACGAUGCGUAGCCGACCUGAGAGGGUGAUCGGCCACACUGGGACUGAGACACGGCCCAGACUCCUACGGGAGGCAGCAGUAGGGAAUCUUCCGCAAUGGACGAAAGUCUGACGGAGCAACGCCGCGUGAGUGAUGAAGGCUUUCGGGUCGUAAAACUCUGUUGUUAGGGAAGAACAAGUGCUAGUUGAAUAAGCUGGCACCUUGACGGUACCUAACCAGAAAGCCACGGCUAACUACGUGCCAGCAGCCGCCGUAA